ACUAGGCCUGGUGGAGGUCUGUAGCGGUCCCGAUGUGUAAAUCGGUCACCUGACCUGGGUUUAGGGGCGAAAGACUAAUCGAACCAUCUGAUAGCUGGUUCCCACUGGAGUUUCCCUCAGGAUAGCUGGCACACAGAAACCCCAGUUUUAUCUGGUAAAGUGAAUGAUUAGAGGUCUUGGGCCCAAAAUGAUCUUAACCCAUUCUCAAACUUUAAAUGGGUAAGAAGCCUGGCUCGCUGGCGUGGAACCGGCAUUGAAUGUAGGUGGCCAGUGGGCAAUUUUUAUUAAGCAGAACUGGAGCUGCGGGAUGAACAAAUCCGGGUUAAGGCGCCCGAUGCCAACGCUCAUCCGACCCCAGAAAGGUGUUGGUUGAUAUAGACAGUAGGAUGGUGGCCAUGGAAGUCAGAAUCUGCUAAGUAGCCCCAGGGAUAGAUCUCUUUUCUUUGUGAAGGGCAGGGCACCCUGUAAUGGGUUCGCCCUGAGAGAGGGCCCAAGGCUUGGAAAGCUUUGUGGUUCCGGCUGUGUGCGGUGAGCUUACGCUGGUCCUUGAAAAUCCAGGGGAGAUGGUGUAACUCUUGCGCCGGCCCGUACUCAUAUCCGCAGCAGAUCUCCAAGGUGAACAGCCUCUGGCAUGUUGGAACAAUGUAGGUAAGGGAAGUCGACAAGUCAGAUCUGUAACUGCGGGAUAAGAAUUGGCUCUAAGUGCUGGGUCAGUCGAGCUGGAGCACGAAGUGGGUCUGGGCACGGGCCGCGGCUGGAUGAGGUGUCUCACCCUCCCUCCCCCCGGGGGCGGUGCCAAGUCUGGAUGUGAGCCGGGCCCUGCCUGCGGAUCUCCCCAACUGCGGUGGUCACCUCUAUCCAUUCCCCUCCUGGGGUUUGGGGGCCGACGUUCUGCCUCGGCCGACGCCUAGCAGCUGACUUGGAACUGGUGUGGACCAGGGGAAUCUGACUGUUUAAUCAAAACAGCAUUGCGAAGGCCUGCGGUGGGUGUUGACGCAAUGUAAUUUCUGCCCAGUGCUCUGAAUGUCAAAGUGAAGAAAUUCAAUGAAGCGCAGGUAAACGUCAGGAGUAACUAUGACUCUCUUACGGUAGUCAAAUGCCUCGUCAUCUAAUUAGUGAUGCACAUGUUUGUUUGUUUGUUUAUUCAUUUGUUAUGCGCACUAGACUCGUGAGUAAAAGGGAACAGCAGUAUGGAGAUGCAAACUUACAAAGUUGCGAAAUAUGCACAGAAUACAGUAUUUACAUGCUUACAAGAUAUACCCAAUGUACAAAAUAGGGGCAGAGACUAAAAAUGGCCUAUGUAAUUACAAAAAUAAACAAUAAGCACUGUACAAAAAAUAUAUAUUGCAAAGGUGAAGCCCUUCGUAUAUCACUUAGGCUCACAAGUAGACUAGAUUACACAUAGUCUUCAGAUGUUAACGCAGUAAUGCACUAUUAAUGCAGAGUGAGAAUCUGAAGAAGGUCUCUUCAGAUGUGGGCAGGUCCACAACGGGUACUGGGAGACUAGGGGUCAGUAGCGAUGAUGUAUUUUAUUACAUUUUUUCUGAAGUGUAGGUAGGGUUGGACGGCCGUCAGAUCUUGAGGCAAUGAGUUCCAGAAUUUAGCUGCCUUUACAGUAAAGCUGUUACCACCAAUAGCAGUGAGCUUAUAUUUAGGUAUGGUCAGACAGUUAACAUUCCCCGUUCUGGUAGGUCUGAGAGAAGUUCUUCUCUAGAGUUUAUAAGGUAGCUGGGGCUGCGUUAUUGAGGGCUUUGUAGGUCAAGGAAAGCGUUUUUAGUUGUAUUUUAUUGGAUGUGGAUAAACUUUUGUGCUGGCGUCUCAAGGAGGAGAUGGAUGGAUGAAUGAGAUUCCCACUGUUCCUACCUACUAUCUAGCGAAACCACAGCCAAGGGAACGGGCGUGGCAGAAUCUGCGGGAAACAAGACCCAGUUGAGCUUGUCUCUAGUCUCGCACUGUGAAGGGACAUGCGAGGUGUAGGAGAAGUGGGAGGCCCGCGGGUCGCCUGUGAAAUACCACUGGUAUUAUAUUAUUUUCACUUACCCGGUGAGGUGUGGGCCGAGCCCCGUGGGGCUCCCACUUCUGGCUCCAAGCGCCCAGCGCCCGCCAUGCGUGACCCGCUCCGGGGACAGUGACAUUUGGGGUGUUUGACUGGGGCGGUACACCUGUCAAACAAUAACACAGGUGUCCUUAGGCAAACUAAGGGAGGACAGAAACCUCCCAUGUAGCAGAAAGGCAAAAGCUCACUUGAUCUCUAUUUUUCAGUAUGAAUACAGACCGUGAAAGUGGAGCCUCAUGAUCCUUAUGACUUUUUCGGUUCAAGCAGAAAAGUUACCGCAGGGAUAACUGGCUUGUGGCGGCCAAGCGUUCAUAGUGACGUUGCAUUUUGAUCAUUCGAUGUCGGCUCUUCCUAUCAUUGUGAAGCAGAAUUCAGCAAGCGUUGGAUUGGUCACCCACUAAUAGGAAAUGUGAGGUGGGUUUAGACCUUUGUGAGACAGGUUAGUUUUACUCUACUGAUGAUAUGUUGUUGCAAUAGUAAUCCUGCUCAUUACAAGAGGAACCGCAGGCUCAGACAUUUGGUGUAUGUCCUUGGCUAAGGAGCCAAUAGGGCGAAGCUAACAUCUGUGGGAUUAUGACUGAAUCGCCCCUAAGCCGUAACAAUACUGCAUCGCUGUUGAGUCUCGGUUGGCCUAGGAUAGCUGGCCUCUGGGCUGGUGUGUAGAACCGCUCGCCUUGGGACUUGCAUAUGGACAGAACAGGGCCACCUCUUUCGCCCGUAGUGUACCGCAUGUUCGUGGGGAACCUGGUGCUAAAUCAGUCGUAGAUUACCCGAUUCUGAUUCUGGUUCAGGGUUUUGUACUACCUUGCUGCGAUCUAUUGAAAGUCAUCCUCUGAACCAAGCUUUUGUC
rnacentral:rRNA from 1 species